rnacentral:rRNA from 1 species
GACGAACCGUGCGAACGUUAUUCGGAAUCACUGGGCUUAAAGCGCGUGUAGGCGGAUGGGAACGUCGGCUUCUGAAAGCCCCCGGCUCAACCGGGGAAGUGGGGCCGAAACGACCCGUCUCGAGGGACGUAGGGGGAUCUGGAACUUCCGGUGGAGCGGUGAAAUGCGUUGAGAUCGGAAGGAACGCCCGUGGCGAAAGCGAGAUCCUGGACGUUUUCUGACGCUGAGACGCGAAAGCGUGGGGAGCGAACAGG